CCUACGGGGGGCAGCAGUGGGGAAUAUUGCACAAUGGGGGAAACCCUGAUGCAGCGACGCCGCGUGAGUGAAGAAGUAUUUCGGUAUGUAAAGCUCUAUCAGCAGGGAAGAAAAUGACGGUACCUGAUUAAGAAGCCCCGGCUAACUACGUGCCAGCAGCCGCGGUCAUACGUAGGGGGCAAGCGUUAUCCGGAUUUACUGGGUGAAAGGGGAGCGUAGACGGUAGUACAAGUCUGGAGUGAAAUGCCGGGGCUUAACCCCGGUACUGCCUUGGAAACUGUGCAGCUAGAGUGCAGGAGAGGUGAGUGGAAUUCCUAGUGUAGCGGUGAAAUGCGUAGAUAUUAGGAGGAACACCAGUGGCGAAGGCGGCUUACUGGACUGUAACUGACGUUGAGGUUCGAAAGCGUGGGGAGCAAACAGGAUUAGAUACCCUUGUAGUC
rnacentral:rRNA from 1 species